rnacentral:lncRNA from 1 species
UAAGAAAAAAGAGAAGAAAAGAAAAGAGAGGAAAAAAAAACAGUGUUGUCCGACGCUGUCGGUCAUUUUGGCCAAUAUCGAUCGACAGUCUUUUAUGUUUUAAUAAAAGCAGAGAUCAUCGCCGAAAGAUAUGCGGGAAACAAAGAAAAGAGUGAUGGGGUCGGAGAGGGUAGAAACUCGGAAGCAACGUAGGUAGAGUCUCCGCAGGUAAAAAUUCUAGAAUGCAAAGGGUAUAUUGAUGACGUGGCGUAACAAAUCAAUCAAAUAUUUUUUUUUAGAAAUAUAUGUCCCAUCAUGAUUGUAAAAAAAUAUUUUUAUUGUACUUUUAUUUGAAAAAAAAAAGAAUGUGAUCGAUUUGUUAUUGAUGACGCUGUACAAGUGUGAUAGUGUAAAAUUCCUCCUCUGCAGGGGAUGGCGUGGAGGAGAGAGUGAGCAAGUGUUGUGG